UUAUGAGUAUGACAGCAAAGAAGAUGAUCCCCCAGUGGUAAUCCAUCCUCGUCUUUAUUCCAUUUGUGUCAGUCUCAGGAUGCAAGAACA